rnacentral:misc_RNA from 1 species
AUGAGAUAAAUGACCAUGGACUACUAAAGUAAGUUCGUCUCAUGGUAGCCCAGUUGCUGCUGUAAUAGGAUUCAACUUCUCUGAAUUGCUUGGAAAGAUAACUAUCUCGAAUGUUGAAGUCAGUGUUCUUCCCAAGAUUAGUGAAAUCAACAACAUAUCUGUCAUCUUUGGAAAACCUCGUGACGAUUCCAUCGGAGCAAAGGAGUGCUACAUCUCUUGGUUGGCUGAUGAGACAACUCAUGAAAGAGACAUAAUCUGUGAAGUAUUUGGAUCUCUUCUCCUGGCAUUGUUCCAAGGCUACACAGUUUAUGAGGAGGGUGCUUGUGAAGUCAUUGACUGUAAUGGAUGGAAUUUCUAGCACUUGGUUUUUGAAAUUUAUAUCCAAGAAGCUGUCUCUCUUUGUUGACUUGAACUUCGCUCCUGAUGGUCUAAGCUGUGUGACACAUUGUAUUGACUGAUCUGAUGGGCAAUAUUCAUCCAACUGAUGACAGUGAGUUACCAAGAUUGAGGAAACUAAGCUUGAAUAAACUAAGUGAAGCAAAUGCUCC